rnacentral:lncRNA from 1 species
CACUUCUCUAACUCGGUCCCGAAUGAAAAUAUCUACUUUAUUAUUUAUUUAUUUAUUUUUUUACUAAAUUCUUACUUUCUUCCUGCAGAUUUUAUUUUAAUAUAUAUAUUGGAUAAUUUACAUGGCAGCGUGGUCGAGGGGAAAUUUAGAUUAUCUUCUACUGUACUUCUGUCACAUAAAUCUCCUACCUCAAAAAAUUAGGUUUUUGUAUAGAAAAUUUGGCAAUAAUGCAUAUUUUUUGAGGUAGGAAUUUAAUAAAUGGAUUUAUAAGUGUAGUAAGUCUAUAAAAUUUAAUAUAUUUAACACGGAAAACUCAUAAUUGAACUUCGUAGCUGGUAUGUUGUAAGCUACUUUCAGUAGGAGUGAUACUUGAUAUAUUUUGUUAAAGGCUUUUUUACUUUACUUACACCUUAAUAAUUUGUCUUCCUUAAACACUUCUGCUAAGCCCACAUUUUAUAGGAAUCCAGAUUAUGUUGCAAAUAUUUCAGGACAUAUUCUCUGAUGUAUAAAGCGACUAUGGUUCUUAAAUAUAACAUGGAAUGAUUAUAGGAUUGUAGGAUUCGACUCAAUUUGAUCUGAGUUUUAUAUAUACAUACAAUCUUUCUAAAAGUGGAUCUUACUCUUGGCCUUUCUGGUUUGGUUAUUUUAGGUAAUUUUUUUUGUGCGUGUGUGUUUUUAUUGGAGUACGGCAUCGGAACUAUUGAAGGAAUGGAAGGGAGAGAAGGGAAUAUGUGAAGCAGAAAAUUUGCAUUCACUUUUUCCUUCAGCGAAGAAGGUUUAGGGAGAAAUUUGUAGUCUGCGAGGCAAGCAUCUCAAAAUCCUCUCUUCACUCGCCAUUUUGCAUAUGUCCGAAAGACGGAUUUUCCAGGCCAGAAAUCGCCUGGCCAGGAUCAACCCGACUUGUGAAAUCUUCUUCUAUGCAUGAUAUUUUUUCUUCUACCUCUUUUUUUUUCUAUCUGUAUAGAUUUUUUUAUUGCCGUCCUUUUUUCUGGUUUGUCUAGUUGGCUUCCAAGAUGAUGCCUCCUCCGAAAUCCGCACCUCCGAAGAAGAAGAAAUUGAAGAAACCAAUGACGAAUGAUCGCGAAAGCAACUCUUUCGGAAAAGGAAAGAUGGUAGAAGUUGAAGAUGCUUCGUUUUGUUAAUCUACCAUCGAAUAUAUUUUUUAAUCUCGCGCUGUUUCGUGAAUAUUCAUUCGACGGGGGCUUCCUUUUACUUAAAACUUUCUGUAAAUUGCGCCAUUUUACACGAUUUUUUAUACUGUUAAGCCCGAAUAGUUGCGAAUUUUACGAUAUAUAUGAAUCUCAUUCUUCUUGUUUUUAUAUUUAUAUAUGUACAUAGCCUAUAUAUAGAUAGAUACUGUAUUUUUUUAUACUUCUUUACGAGGCUCGACGUAAGUAAAUUUGUAUACAAUGAACGAAAGCUACUUACAAAAAUCCUAGGAGAAGCGCUGUUUUCUGUUUAAUAACCAUUCAGCAUAAUAAAUCAUGGGAAUGCGGUCGUUAUGAUUCUAUUCUCUUUGUCUCGGGCGAAUUACUUGUAUUGUUAUUAAUGGACUAGUGGAAAAUUUUUUUAUCGUUUUUAAUUUUGAUGCGGUUUAGUCUCCCUAGUUACCAUUUUGUCUUAAGACAGUUCAUUUAUCAAAGCAUGUACCUAGUUAGGAGUUCGUUUGAACUGUUGUAAUGGCUUAGCCACCAUAUCUCAUAAAAAGUGUCAAACUGAGAUCUGUUUUUAUCAUUCGCUGUAAAGUAUCCCCCCGAAUUGGGGUCAAGAAUAACGUGUAAGUAUUCUAGAUUGAUGACUUUAGUUUCUCGCAAGAAUCAUUUUAAAAUUUCGCCCAUUUGGGUCUACAAUUUACAUAUUUAAAUCUGUUUCUCUCUGGGUAAAUCGGCAAUAUACAGCAAGCCCGGAGAAUAUUGUAUUUUGGUUUACAUUUUACACAUUUAAAUUCAUUUUUUUUCGGGGUAUCUUGCUGGGUAAACCGACAAUUUACAGCAAGGCCACACACGGAAACUCGUACGUAUUGGUACGUAAAGGCGCGAACAAUACUGUUGAUACUGUUAACGAUGUGGAAGACAUUUUUUUGUACUUCUUAUUAAUAAAAAAAAAGGUACCAAAGCAGAAAGUAGUAUUUAUCGAUAUAGCUUAAGCACAAGCGUCAAAAUGAAUCCGGCUCAUUCUGAUGCGGGUGUUAUGUCUGCCAUUAAUCAGGCCAGGUCUCAUACCUUCAAUACUAACGCCUUUUCCUCUGCAAGCGGCAAAAUGAUGAGUUGCAUUGUUGGCUUGUCGACGGCAAUAAAAAGACCCUCUAACCGCUCCCCUGUUGGAAUUUAAUAGAAUUCCGUGUACAACGUUGGAUAAAACAAGUAGUAAUAUGACGUGUCUGGCUGAUAGUUGAUGUGGAUGGAAGGAAAUGGCUUAGUAAUACUUUGCUGUGAUAAAUUUGGGAGGAAAGAGGAUUGCGAACAUCAACGUCUUGCUGAGAAGUCGUUUAGGAGAUUCUGAAUCUGUUGUAGUCAUUCUAAAUAUGAGAUGUGUUGUCAGAACCGGGAUAACUUUUAUUAUUACACUGAAUAAAGCUCGCCAGUCUGCACUCCUUUUAAAAUGGAAAUAUUCAAAUAAAGCUGGGAAGAAGGAUGAAUAUGUUAAUGCAGCGAGCCAACCGGUUGCAAAACCUUUCAUGCCAACCUGUAAUACAUAAGCAAUUUUUAAUUACCCGUUAUAACGAUUCCAUUUUUUUUUAUUCUUUUAUAUCGGGGGCGAGAAACGUGUUACGUAGCCAAGACCCAAGGAAGAAUCGUGUCACAUUCGCGCCAUCUAUCGGACUAAAUUCAAAUUUUAAACUGUGCAAAAAAGAGGGCAGCAGCUAGCAGGGUGUAGGUGAGCGUACCCUUGAGGAAUAUCCUUAUUUUUAAAAUAUGGACUCUGAGACACGAAGGAAGGAAAUUUGAAGCCGAAGCAUGUAUCGUGUUUGAUACAGCCGUGACAAUACUUUAACAAACAAAACAUUGUAAAUUUGAACUGGGCUGCUAUAAAUUCUCGGUGCGAUACGACAAAAUUACUUAAUGAAAUUAGUUUGUCGUCGCUACUUGUAUGUAAAAAUCUUUAAAUUUUAAUUAUUUUUUUACAUUAAUAAUUCAGGCAAAUAUGAAUGAUUAACUUUCUUUUCCAGUGUUUACAACCGAUAAAUCAGGGCUCUAACUACGGGGAAUAAUGUCUGGUCCUCCUCAUUUCAUGUAGAAUUUAUAUAAUCUAAAUUGGGGUCAUCUGAACUAUCUUACAAAUUUGCCCUUGACCCUAGCACAGGCUUUUAAAUUGAGAGAUAUUCUACAUUUCAACUAAGAAAUGAUGAAUUUUUGUGGAAAAAUUAAUGAUUUAUUCUGCAAAAUGUUAACUAGGGAUCAUCAGUGAGUCAACAUCAACCCCAGGGACCUUGAAAUUUUGCAAUUAGUUAACUGGAACAAUUCCAUUAGAGGUACAAGAUCCAGAUACAUCUGCUCAAUAUCGGUUAACAGGGCACCGGCCAAUGAGGGCAAUAUUCAUUGAUCGGGAUCUUUAAUGGUUUCUUUUUUGAUCAGCAACUUGAUUGAAUAAGAACAGAUAACCCCCAUUCGGUCAUUAGACCUCAUAUCGUUCUCCUAAUGAUGAUUCGACAGAUCUGCUCCCUCUCAAAACGCCCUGGCUAAUUUGGUGAGGUAGAAAUGGCCCUCCCGAUGAAUAACUCAUCCGGAUAAUAAAGUUUUUCCCCUCUCGCAUUGAGCUUUUUCACUGUUAUUUUUGAUUACUUUUAUCUAAUUAAUGUUUGUGGUCGCGAGAUUUGUGAGUCAUUACACCCUGCAGAGUAACAGGUUGAGCCAUUCCUUUCAAUUGUGAGAAUCAAAUAUGCUAAUCGCUCGGAUCUAAAACUUUAGAAAGGAUAGAACCCUUGUAAGGCCUCCACAAAUGAGGGCCUGCAACUAUGGUAAAAUACAGUAAUUAGAGCGAUAAAUUAAAUGUUAUGAUUAAACAAUGCUGUUAUAUUGCUUAAGUUAAACUAUUGUCGAUAAUUACGUAGUGUAGUGUAUUGUUGCCAUUAUUAAUCAUUAUUGCCAUUGAUAUCAAGUAUUGCCUCUUCUCCUCCACAGUAAUUUUUCA